UACGGAGGUUCCAAGCGUUGUUCGGAAUUACUGGGCGUAAAGGGAGCGCAGGCGGGUCGGUAAGUCUAAAGUGGAAUCCCGGGGCUCAACCUCGGACGUGCUUUGGAUACUGCCGAUCUUGAGUUCGCGAGAGGAAAGCGGAAUUCAGGGUGUAGCGGUGAAAUGCUUAGAUAUCCUGAGGAACACCAAUGGCGAAAGCAGCUUUCUGGCGCGUUACUGACGCUGAGGCUCGAAAGCGUGGGGAGCGAACGGG
rnacentral:rRNA from 1 species